GUGUUAACGUUGCCGCGGGGCCACUAUCUACUCCUUCCACGAGCGGCCAGUUUCGCUUCUUCAGGUUGGCUAGUUCAGCAAGCCCCUCAGUGCCACCCAGGGCUCAAUCUCUGAAAUACUUUACAAGGACUGUCAGUCUGGGAGAGGUACAGAGUGGAAAGCUUGUGAACAGCAGAAUGGUGGUUGUAAGAUUUACUGAGCAAGAGGCCAGUGUCCCAUCCAUGAUUGCCAAAGUAAAAGAUGCCUUAGGAAGCAAUGAACAACUCAUCCUGAUAGACCACAAUGGAGUGGAAAUAUUGGACUCAGAAGGAACAAGAUGCACCUUUUAUUGGAAGCAGAACUCACGAAAAAUCAUGGCUGUACCAGAGGUUGAUUUCCAAGCUGUGCAACAAAAGAGGUGAAGAAUCUCACGCAGAGAUGACGAGGGUGGACUGGACAGUGUGUUCGAGAAGAUCGAGGAGCUUGUCCUGGCUGCUCAGGGUUUGUCUGAGGUGACAACUGCCAUUUAGGGACUCUCUGACAU